rnacentral:lncRNA from 1 species
GGCCUGCUCUGGUAAUACUCCAAGGGUCUACAGAAAUUAAGAAAACAGAACCUUUUCCCUUUGAGGAUUUAACCUAGUAGGAGACACACCAAUAUCCAAACACAAAGCAAUGUUCUUCUGAAAUAUUCUAGUCCUUUCUACCUCUUUUAAGGUACUUAUCCCACUCUGCUCACCUCAUUUUAGAGGCGUCAACUCACAACAAUGUGAUCAACAGUCACCAAAGUUCAAGUCCUCUCUCUCCCCUCCUUCUCCUGGCCUCCAGGUUGGGAAGUUUGGUGCAACUUCUUCCCAGGGCUGACUUUGUCCACCCCAGGAGUUUCAUAAAGCACCUCAUAAAAACCCAUUUACUGGUUUCCCCAACAUAAUGGCAGAAAUAAACCACUUGAUACACACUUGGAAAUCGCUUCCAGAGAACAUGUGCAUUGUUUUGUUGGCAUGGCAUCUUGGUUUCUAACUUGAAUUUCCACCACCUUUGCUUUUUUGACAGUAUCUUCCAUGAUUAAGAUGGCCGAAUCCUCCACUUUUUAUUGAGUUGGACAGCAAAUCACAGACUAAAUGCUUUCCCUUGCACUUUAAAAGGAUUUAAUAGGAAAAUAUUUUUCCUACAUCCUGUUUCAAGGGGAAAAUGUGAUUUUAAGGGGCAUUUUAUAGUUCACAACAGGAUAUUGAAGGGCAUUUGGUUUUGCUUAGUUUAUUAUGACUGUGUUUCUCCAGCAUGAAGUAGUGUUUUUUGUGACUAUUUAGAUAAGUGUGAUUAUGGUAGAUAGGCAGCUUUAAUGUCCCCCAAACAGUUUUGUGAUGAGAGUAGGAGUAAGGAGAGUAGCAUUUAUUCAAGGAGAUCCCUAUGUAUCUGUAAGCACUUCUGAAUAUGAGAAUUGGAGUAACUAAUAUGUGUGGAUUUGUGUGUAUUUCAUUCAUUCAUUCAUCCAUUAAGCCAGCCAGUCAGUGAGUCAUAUUCUAAACAUAUUCCCAGUGUCUACU